UGAUUACGGACAGCUCAGCUGAUGAAACACCUGUUUCCCAUUCUGAGAUAUUAAAAGACACCCAGGAAAGCAAACUCCAGCACAUAGGACCAUCUAUUUUAAGAAAUCAGAGCCUUUUGGACAUCACACCUGGCCUUUGCUGACCUGAAGUCCUAUAUACUGCAUGUAAACUGUAUCUUGAUGCAUGCUCAAUCAUCCAGACUCCCAUUGGGUGAUACUCUAAUGGCCCUGCUAAGUAAGCUGGAUCUACAAAGGGACCAGGAUGGAUGACGCUAUUGGAAGGGUGAAAUCGGAAGUAACAGCCAUUGCAGCCAUCCAGUGUUAUUAAGAGCAGUCAUCCAGAUAUUGCUUUUCUUCAGCAUGAAGGAGGAAGUCUGCAGCUGUGGAAUGGGCUACUGUGUAGGAAGACUGCCAAACCAAACAGCCUUGUUAAAAGAAGGAAGUCAGGGUGCGAUAUCUCAGUACACGGGUGCCCAGAAAGCACUGCAUUUAUGAUAAAUUUGUACUGUUUUGCUGUCUUUUUACUCCAGACAUUCUAAUGUAACAAUGCAGAGAAGAUAAAA